rnacentral:tRNA from 1 species
GUCCAGGGGCGGGAAUCGAACCCACACCCUUCUGCUUACCGGGCAGGUGCCUUGUCCACCUGGCUACCCUGGA